AGGAGGAGGCGCGUCGUGCUCUCCGCCGCGGCGCCCCUUUUUUGGCCCGGGACGCGGGUUUUGCCAGUGGGGGCUGUGCUGCCGCGGUUGGUUUCCUGCAUCAGCUGCGGGGGUGUGUGUGCUGAGCACACACGUGUGUCUGUGUGUGUGUGUGCUCUCCGUGCCGGGUCACCCUGCCCGGCCCAGGGUUGCCCUCCCUUCUCCCACACCACUGGCAAGCGAGCGCUGGGCUGCCCUCCAAAAGGCGAGGGGGCCCGGCUGGGCUUUGGGUACUGAGGAGGGGAAUUUGGCAUUUCUUUUAUUUCUUUUUUUUUNNNNNNNNNNNNNNNNNNNNUUUUCUUUUGUCACCCAAACUCCCCGACAAAGCAGCGUUGGCAGCUUUUCAUUGCCACUCAGGUUUUCGAUCGGGUUUUGCUUUUGAAGCCAGUACGUGAUGUCUUUAGCAAACAAACCCAAAUAAAUAUUUCUUGCAUCACCCCGUGUUCUCCCUCCUCCCGUGCCUGCACUCCCCUGGCAGUCUGUGUGCUCAGCUGUGAGCACCUUGGCCCUGCUACCUCCUCCCCUUUGGAGUUCAGUGUCCAGACCAGAUCCUGCCUUAAGCAAACAGGACCACCAUUCUCAGAGUUUUCAAGGUUUUUACAGGAAGUUCUUUCAAUCUACAUUUAAUCAUGUUUGUAAGACAGAUGAGUAUUUUAAUCCCCAUUUCACAGGGGAAGGCAGGAAGAUGCAGAGUAGCUCGCUGCAUAGCUGUGGACUGACAUGACACCAUUUCUGCCUGAGCUUUUGGCCACAGGCGCUGUCUCUGGGCUAUUUUUCCUCUUGAGUUCACUUAAAUUAUACCUUGAGAACGCUUCCAGCUUACAGUGGUGGCAGGUUCUCUGCUGUGGGUAACCUGUCCUAUGUCCUGCCCAGAGGCAACAUGGGAGGUAAAUGUAAGUGAAAUCCCUUGGCUAGUUUGCAACUGGUGGUUAGGGCAAGAGAUGGUAUUCAUUGCUGAACUGGAGAUUCAUGAAAAAUCAGACCCUCAAAGAGUAUCUUCAGGAGAAAUGUGUUCUGCUGCUCCUAUUGGACAACACAUGAGGCCUCAUGUGGCUGGUCACAGGACAGGGAUCAGACAAGAGACCAGCCACAGAGCAGAGCAGCCAAUGAGAAGAAUGCCUUCUGACAGAGUCCCCGUGAGGUGUCCUUCGGUACUGGGAGCCCUGGUGAGACCAGCGCCAAGCCCGCACCUCGUGCAGCAUCCUCCCUGCAGAGACACCUGGUGAGGCCAAGAGACAGGGAGUCACCCUCAGCACUUCCCAGGCUGGCCCCACUCCAUGUCUGGCCAAACCAUUUAUGACAGCCUGUCAAAGUCUAAGCAGGAAAACAAAAAUU
rnacentral:lncRNA from 1 species